CAGCAGUCGCCACGGUAAUACGGAGGAUCCAAGCGUUAUCCGGAAUCAUUGGGUUUAAAGGGUCCGUAGGCGGUCUUGUAAGUCAGUGGUGAAAGCCCAUCGCUCAACGGUGGAACGGCCAUUGAUACUGCAGGACUUGAAUUAUUGGGAAGUAACUAGAAUAUGUAGUGUAGCGGUGAAAUGCUUAGAGAUUACAUGGAAUACCAAUUGCGAAGGCAGGUUACUACCAAUUGAUUGACGCUGAUGGACGAAAGCGUGGGUAGCGAACAGGAUUAGAUACCCCUGUAGUCCCUGUCUCUUAUAC
rnacentral:rRNA from 1 species